AUUGAACGCUGGCGGCAGGCUUAACACAUGCAAGUCGAGCGGGGACUUCGGUCCUAGCGGCGAACGGGUGAGGAAUGCUUGGGAAUCUGCCCAGUAGCGGGGGAUAACGUUUCGAAAGGAACGCUAAAACCGCAUACGCCCUACGGGGGAAAGGGGGGGAUCUUCGGACCUCUCACUAUUGGAUGAGCCCAAGUCGGAUUAGCUAGUUGGUGGGGUAAAGGCCUACCAAGGCGACGAUCCGUAGCUGGCCUGAGAGGAUGAUCAGCCACACUGGAACUGAGACACGGUCCAGACUCCUACGGGAGGCAGCAGUGGGGAAUAUUGGACAAUGGGCGAAAGCCUGAUCCAGCCAUGCCGCGUGUGUGAAGAAGGCCUUCGGGUUGUAAAGCACUUUAAGCGAGGAGGAAUGGCUCUUGGUUAAUAACCUUGAGCAGUGACGUUACUCGCAGAAUAAGCACCGGCUAACUCUGUGCCAGCCGCCGCCGUAAUAC
rnacentral:rRNA from 1 species